rnacentral:rRNA from 1 species
GAUGAACGCUGGCGGCGUGCCUAAUACAUGCAAGUCGAGCGAACAGACGAGGAGCUUGCUUCUCUGACGUUAGCGGCGGACGGGUGAGUAACACGUGGAUAACCUACCUAUAAGACUGGGAUAACUUCGGGAAACCGGAGCUAAUACCGGAUAAUCUUUUGAACCGCAUGGUUCAAUAGUAAAAGACGGUUUUGCUGUCACUUAUAGAUGGAUCCGCGCUGCAUUAGCUAGUUGGUAAGGUAACGGCUUACCAAGGCAACGAUGCGUAGCCGACCUGAGAGGGGGAUCGGCCACACUGGAACUGAGACACGGUCCAGACUCCUACGGGAGGCAGCAGUAGGGAAUCUUCCGCAAUGGGCGAAAGCCUGACGGAGCAACGCCGCGUGAGUGAUGAAGGUCUUCGGAUCGUAAAACUCUGUUAUUAGGGAAGAACAUAUGUGUAAGUAACUGUGCACAUCUUGACGGUACCUAAUCAGAAAGCCACGGCUCCCUACGUG